rnacentral:misc_RNA from 1 species
UGGUUUGGGAUACCCUUAGUUUAAAUCCAAUGCGAGAAAAUAAAUUGUUAUGUCAAGAAAAUUCAACAAAUGAAGAUUUUGAUGAUGAGACGUUUGGGAGAGAGAGGCCAGUUGGAUUGUUAAGUGCAAGCUUAUCAUGAAGAAUAUUUCAGGCCUGAGGUCCGUCUAUGUCAGAAAUCAUGGUUAGUUCUCUUCAGGGUGGGUGCCAUGCCCAUACGUAAAAGGUUAAAUGUAUAUUGAUUUGAUGCACAAUGUAGAAUAGCAAGAGAUAAUUUGUUGGGGCUCAGAAAUAUGUUCAGUACAGGUGGAUGCUUAUAUGGUCCUAAAUUUUCC